CACUCUGGAGACAUCCGGGUAAAACCGGGGGCCGAAGGUGCAAGGGGUGAUGAAUCACCGAAUCUCUCAGGCAAAAGGACAGAGC
rnacentral:ncRNA from 1 species